UUUAUUUCAGGGCGUGGUGCCCAUCAAAUAUGGGUUGUAAUUGUUUGGGGAUACCUCAUAUAGGUUCCAAUGUGAAGUGGUAGGUGACAACUGCGGAAUUGUGUUCACUGGGCAGGGAGGUUCUGUUUUGAAGCAGGUUCUCCUGGGAUAUAUGGGUGGCCCUUUCCAUGAUGCAAGAAAGUUAUAUUUGAAACAGACAGGUCAGAUGGUAGUGAGCGGUGGGUCCAGGACCUUCUACGCUCAGGCCAAAUGCUGGCCUUUGGGGAGGAACACUGGAUCUCGGCUGCUGAAUGGUGACAAGCUGCUGGGACCGAAGCUGCUGAUGGAUCAAAGGACCCUGGAUGGCAGGAAAAGCCCAUGCUGUGAAUAAAUAUGCCUGCCAGAUUGCCUUCUGUGGAAAGACACUAUAAGAAUGGAUCCAGAGAUCGACCCUGUAUCGCUGAACUGUUUUGGAUUCUUACAGAGUGGAUGGAAAUCCCCAGAAUUACCAUGGAUAACCCUGAGAGACUUAUGGAAAACUAGCAGAUCACAACAUCUCUGUCAUU